UACGUAGGGGGCAAGCGUUGUCCGGAUUUAUUGGGCGUAAAGAGCGUGUAGGCGGCCAGGUAGGUCUGCUGUGAAACUCGAGGCUCAACCUCGAGACGUCGGCGGAAACCAUCUGGCUAGAGUCCGGAAGAGGAGAGUGGAAUUCCUGGUGUAGCGGUGAAAUGCGCAGAUAUCAGGAAGAACACCCGUGGCGAAGGCGGCUCUCUGGGACGGUACUGACGCUGAGAGCGAAAGCUGGGGAGCAAACAGG
rnacentral:rRNA from 1 species